rnacentral:rRNA from 1 species
AUAGUUUUUUAAUUUUAAACUGGAAUGAAAGAAACAACUAAAAAUAAUAUAUUUUAUAAGAAUUAAUUUAAAUUUUACCUUUUAGUAAAAAGGCUAAAAUAAAAAUGUUAGACAAGAAGACCCUGUAAAUUUUCAUAAAAAAAAGACAUAAAAAUCUUUGUAUUAUUUUGCUGGGGCGGCAUGAAAAUUAACAACUCAAAACUACCCAAAAUAAUAAAAUUCUAAUAUCUAGAAUUUCUAAAAAUAAAUAAAAUACUUCAGGGAUAACAGCGUAAUUUAUUUUAAGAGAUCUCAUCAACAAAUAAGAUUGCGACCUCGAUGUUGAAUUAAGAAGUCUAGUCUAUGAAAAAGU